GAGGUUCGGCUCUGCCCUGCCUGGGGCCUCCGGGCUGCCAGACCAGCGGCGUGCGCGGGAGCUAACAAGGGAGGAGCACAGAAGUCCCAGCUGCCAACAGCAGCCUCUACACGGCCAAGGUACAGAGGAGAUGGCCACACUGCCAUGCCCAUACCUGCCUGCCUGCUGCAGAUCUGUCCUCGGGAAUGAAACUAGAAGAGACCCCUCUGUGCAGAGAGAGGCACUUGGCAUAGAUUUAAUCCCUGAGAGAAGAGAGGGCUCCCUGCUGCUCAGAGCUCCUUGUUGAAGACAGUUCUGCCUGCAGCUGCCUCGGAUUACAGGUCUGGCAGAUGGAGACCUCAGCUCCUUACAGCUCCAGGUAAUUUCAACUCCAGCCAUGGGAUGUUCCUGCUAAUAGUCACUCCUUCCUGUUACAGGUCAGCUUGGCUCUCCCUCGUGGAGGCUACAUAAAGCAGAUGCUGACCUGUUCAGCCUGUGCUAGGUGUGCAGUCCUGGCUGACAGACAUCACAGCU